AGCUCAGUCCUGGAUUAGCAGGUCCUGCCAUUCUGUGAUCAGCACAGGACACAAACCACUCACCAUGGACUUGGUGCUCACUUGGCUUUUCCUUGUCGUAAUUUUAAAAGGUGUCCAGUGUGAGGUGAAGCUGCUGGAGUCUGGAGGAGGCUUAGUGCAGCCUGGGAAGUCCCUGAAACUCUCCUGUGCAGCCUCUGGAUUCACCUUCAGUAACUACGACAUGAGCUGGGUCCGCCAAGCUCCAGGGAAGGGGCUGGAGUGGGUCGCAUACAUUAGUAGUGGUAGUAGUAGCAUCUACUAUUCCGACGCUGUGAAGGGCCGGUUCACCAUCUCCAGAGACAAUGCCAAGAACACCCUGUACCUGCAAAUGAACAAUCUCAAGUCUGAGGACACAGCCACAUAUUACUGUGCAAGAGACACAGUGAGUGAAUGCUACAGUGAGCUCAGACACAAACCUCCCUGCGGGGCUCUCAGGACCAGCAGGGGGUGCUGGGAGCACACAGAGCUGUGGGUAACAGGUGGCGUAAUGGUUCGCUACCGCACCUACCUCUUUUUACAGUGA